rnacentral:rRNA from 1 species
GACGAACGCUGGCGGCGUGCCUAAUACAUGCAAGUAGAACGCUGAAGAGAGGAGCUUGCUCUUCUUGGAUGAGUUGCGAACGGGUGAGUAACGCGUAGGUAACCUGCCUGGUAGCGGGGGAUAACUAUUGGAAACGAUAGCUAAUACCGCAUAAGAGUAGAUGUUGCAUGACAUUUGCUUAAAAGGUGCAAUUGCAUCACUACCAGAUGGACCUGCGUUGUAUUAGCUAGUUGGUGAGGUAACGGCUCACCAAGGCAACGAUACAUAGCCGACCUGAGAGGGUGAUCGGCCACACUGGGACUGAGACACGGCCCAGACUCCUACGGGAGGCAGCAGUAGGGAAUCUUCGGCAAUGGACGGAAGUCUGACCGAGCAACGCCGCGUGAGUGAAGAAGGUUUUCGGAUCGUAAAGCUCUGUUGUAAGAGAAGAACGAGUGUGAGAGUGGAAAGUUCACACUGUGACGGUAUCUUACCAGAAAGGGACGGCUAACUACGUGCCAGCAGCCGCGGUAAUACGUAGGUCCCGAGCGUUGUCCGGAUUUAUUGGGCGUAAAGCGAGCGCAGGCGGUUAGAUAAGUCUGAAGUUAAAGGCUGUGGCUUAACCAUAGUACGCUUUGGAAACUGUUUAACUUGAGUGCAAGAGGGGAGAGUGGAAUUCCAUGUGUAGCGGUGAAAUGCGUAGAUAUAUGGAGGAACACCGGUGGCGAAAGCGGCUCUCUGGCUUGUAACUGACGCUGAGGCUCGAAAGCGUGGGGAGCAAACAGG